rnacentral:rRNA from 1 species
AGUCGAACGGGCGUAGCAAUACGUCAGUGGCAGACGGGUGAGUAACGCGUGGGAACAUACCUCUUGGUUCGGAACAACACAGGGAAACUUGUGCUAAUACCGGAUAAGCCCUUACGGGGAAAGAUUUAUCGCCGAGAGAUUGGCCCGCGUCUGAUUAGCUAGUUGGUGGGGUAAAGGCCUACCAAGGCGACGAUCAGUAGCUGGUCUGAGAGGAUGAUCAGCCACAUUGGGACUGAGACACGGCCCAAACUCCUACGGGAGGCAGCAGUGGGGAAUAUUGGACAAUGGGCGCAAGCCUGAUCCAGCCAUGCCGCGUGAGUGAUGAAGGCCCUAGGGUUGUAAAGCUCUUUUGUACGGGAAGAUAAUGACGGUACCGUAAGAAUAAGCCCCGGCUAACUUCGUGCCAGCAGCCGCGGUAAUACGAAGGGGGCUAGCGUUGCUCGGAAUCACUGGGCGUAAAGGGUGCGUAGGCGGGUUUUUAAGUCAGAGGUGAAAUCCUGGAGCUCAACUCCAGAACUGCCUUUGAUACUGAAAGUCUUGAGUAUGGGAGAGGUG